UAGAGUUUGAUCCUGGCUCAGAUUGAACGCUGGCGGCAUGCCUUACACAUGCAAGUCGAACGGCAGCGCGGACUUCGGUCUGGCGGCGAGUGGCGAACGGGUGAGUAAUAUAUCGGAACGUACCCAGGAGUGGGGGAUAACGUAGCGAAAGUUACGCUAAUACCGCAUACGUCCUAAGGGAGAAAGUGGGGGAUCGCAAGACCUCAUGCUCAUGGAGCGGCCGAUAUCUGAUUAGCUAGUUGGUGGGGUAAAAGCCUACCAAGGCAACGAUCAGUAGCUGGUCUGAGAGGACGACCAGCCACACUGGAACUGAGACACGGUCCAGACUCCUACGGGAGGCAGCAGUGGGGAAUUUUGGACAAUGGGGGCAACCCUGAUCCAGCAAUGCCGCGUGAGUGAAGAAGGCCCUCGGGUUGUAAAGCUCUUUUGUCAGGGAAGAAAAGGCUCUAGCUAAUAUCUGGGGCUCAUGACGGUACCUGAAGAAUAAGCACCGGCUAACUACGUGCCAGCAGCCGCGGUAAUACGUAGGGUGCAAGCGUUAAUCGGAAUUACUGGGCGUAAAGCGUGCGCAGGCGGUUUUGUAAGACUGUCGUGAAAUCCCCGGGCUUAACCUGGGAAUGGCGAUGGUGACUGCAAGGCUAGAGUUUGGCAGAGGGGGGUAGAAUUCCACGUGUAGCAGUGAAAUGCGUAGAUAUGUGGAGGAACACCGAUGGCGAAGGCAGCCCCCUGGGUCAAAACUGACGCUCAUGCACGAAAGCGUGGGGAGCAAACAGGAAUAGAUACCCUNNNAGUCCANNNNNNANNCGANNNCUAC
rnacentral:rRNA from 1 species